rnacentral:rRNA from 1 species
GAUUGGCGGCGUGUAUAGGCUGCAGUCGUGCGAGAAUCCCCCUUCGGGGGGAGGAAAGCGGCGAAAGGGAGAGUAACGCGUGGAUACCUACCUUCAGGAUCGGGAUAGCUGCGGGAAACUGCAGGUAAUACCGAAUAACAUCUCCGGAUCAAAGGUGUGAUUCCGCCUGAAGACGGGUCCGCGUCCUAUUAGCUAGUUGGUGGGGUAACGGCCUACCAAGGCGACGAUGGGUACGGGGCGUGAGAGCGCAACCCCGCUCACUGGGACUGAGACACUGCCCAGACACCUACGGGUGGCUGCAGUCGAGGAUCUUCGGCAAUGGACGCAAGUCUGACCGAGCGACGCCGCGUGCGGGAUGAAGGCCUUCGGGUUGUAAACCGCUGUCAGUUGGGAGGAAAUCACAUGGGGUUCUCUCCAUGUGUUGACCUAUCUUCAGAGGAAGGACGGGCUAAGUUCGUGCCAGCAGCCGCGGUAAGACGAACCGUCCUAACGUUAUUCGGAAUUACUGGGCUUAAAGGGUGCGUAGGCGGCCCUGUAAGUUGGGUGUGAAAUCCCUCGGCUCAACCGAGGAAUUGCGCCCAAUACUGCAGGGCUAGAGGAAGAUAGAGGUGAGCGGAACUUGUGGUGGAGCGGUGAAAUGCGUUGAUAUCACAAGGAACACCUGUGGCGAAAGCGGCUCACUGGGUCUUUUCUGACGCUGAGGCACGAAGGCUGGGGGAGCGAACGGGAUUAGAUAUCC